GAGGGGAACAACCCAGACUAACAGCUAAGGUCCCUAAGUUACAUCUAAGUGGAAAACGAUGUGGAGUUACUGUGACAACCAGGAGGUUGGCUUAGAAGCAGCCAUCCUUUAAAGAAAGCGUAACAGCUCACUGGUCUAGUGAUUCUGCGCGGAAAAUAUAACGGGGCUAAGAUGUACACCGAAGCUUUAGAUUCAAUUUUUAAUUGAGUGGUAGGAGAGCGUUCUAUUCAGCGUAGAAGAUGUACCGGUAAGGAGCGUUGGAGCGGAUAGAAGUGAGCAUGCAGGCAUGAGUAGCGAUAAUUGAGGUGAGAAUCCUCAACGCCGAAAACCCAAGGUUUCCUACGCGAUGCUCGUCAUCGUAGGGUUAGUCGGGACCUAAGUCGAGUCCGAAAGGGGUAGACGAUGGCAAAUUGAUUAAUAUUUCAAUACCAACAUAUAAGCGCGAUGUGGGGACGCAUAGAGUUAAUCGAGGUCACUGAUGGAAUAGUGGCUCGAAGGACGUAGGCUGUUAAGUAGGCAAAUCCGCUUAACAUUAGGCCGAGAUCUUACAGGCUCUUGACACUCUUCGGAGGAGAUGGAGAAUCGAUGAUACUGUCGUGCCAAGAAAAGCCACUAAGUUUAUUAUAUGUUGCCCGUACCGUAAACCGACACAGGUGGGUGGGAUGAGUAUUCUAAGGCGCGUGGAAGAACCCUGGUUAAGGAACUCUGCAAACUAGCACCGUAUCUUCGGUAUAAGGUGUGCCUACUUUUGUAUAUGAACUUGCUUCAAAAAGCGAAAGAGGUUGCAACAAAGAG
rnacentral:rRNA from 1 species